UGCCCAGCAACUCCUAUCCUUACCACCUCGUGGUACUGGCCGGGAUAUGAGUAACCUUGGGAAGAUCUGGUAACCAACCCCGGUAGGAACUUUGGUCGUAUGCUGACAGGGAAGU
rnacentral:ribozyme from 1 species